AUACUUACCUGGCAGGGGAGAUACCGUGAUCACGAAGGUGGUUUUCCCAGGGCGAGGCUCAUCCAUGGCACUGCGGAUGUGCUGACCCCUGCCAUUUCCCCAAAUGUGGGAAACUCGACUGCAUAAUUUGUGGUAGUGGGGGACUGUGUUCGCGCUCUCCCGUU
rnacentral:snRNA from 1 species